UAAUUCCCAAAUCGCCAGACAAUACAAGCCUUUCGCGUCUGCGCUUCUCUCUUUCUUCGCUCCAAAUACGAAUUCUUUGCAUACCCAAGCGAACUCAGACAAUACGAGCCUUCCUUAUCUCCAGCUCCCAAAUCGCUAGCCCUAGCCCAAACGAUUCUCUCUCUCUUCUCUCCAAAUACGAAUUCUUCCCAUACCCAAGCCCUAAUUUCUCUCUAAGAUUCGCGAUUUAGGCAACCACAGCUGAGAAACGCGACCUAUUUCGUUGUGCACUAGAUUUGCUAAGAACUGGUAGCCUAUUUCGCUGUGAAGAAAAGCCUGUUAUAACUCAGUUUCUCAGUUUAGAACAAAAGCCGAACUUCUCAAAAAAUCAGGUA
rnacentral:lncRNA from 1 species